rnacentral:rRNA from 1 species
UACGGAGGGUGCAAGCGUUAUCCGGAAUUACUGGGUUUAAAGGGUGCGUAGGCGGCGUUACAAGUCAGGAGUUAAAGGUUGUAGCUUAACUAUGAUAUGCUUUUGAUACUGUAGUGCUUGAAUUAGGAUGAGGAUAGCGGAAUGUGACAUGUAGCGGUGAAAUGCAUAGAUAUGUCAUAGAACACCGAUUGCGAAGGCAGCUAUCUGGCCCUAUAUUGACGCUGAUGCACGAAAGCGUGGGGAGCGAACAGG